AACGAACGCUGGCGGCAGGCUUAACACAUGCAGGUCGAGCGCCCCGCAAGGGGAGCGGCAGACGGGUGAGUAACGCGUGGGAACGUACCCUUUACUACGGAAUAGCUCCGGGAAACUGGAAUUAAUACCGUAUGUGCCCUUCGGGGGAAAGAUUUAUCGGUAAAGGAUCGGCCCGCGUUGGAUUAGCUAGUUGGUGGGGUAAAGGCCUACCAAGGCGACGAUCCAUAGCUGGUCUGAGAGGAUGAUCAGCCACAUUGGGACUGAGACACGGCCCAAACUCCUACAGGAGGCAGCAGUGGGGAAUAUUGGACAAUGGGCGCAAGCCUGAUCCAGCCAUGCCGCGUGAGUGAUGAAGGCCUAGGGUUGUAAAGCUCUUUCACCGAUGAAGAUAAUGACGGUAGUCGGAGAAGAAGCCCCGGCUAACUUCGUGCCAGCCGCCGCGGUAAUAC
rnacentral:rRNA from 1 species